rnacentral:lncRNA from 1 species
GAAAAUGGCACGGAAUGACCCUUCGUGCAUACUCACUCUUCCUAUCCCAAUCAACAAUCACAAACAAUCGGUGUUAGGGGAUAGACAACAAUAUAAAACAUCCUAGCAAGGGAGAAAAAACAACAAAUAAGUCCCGACAAAGGAAUAAUUACAACACUUUCUCUAUUGGUCACGUCUUUCUCAAUUACCAUAUUCACGUUCGAGCCAACGCUCCAAUAGUGCACAAAUCAUAAUUCUUCCUCAAAUUCUUCACAUUAUAUGAAACUUAUCAAUUUAACAAGGAAGAAGUAUCACAAAAUUCGAAUAAAUACAAUUAAGACUCACGGUCAUGCUAGACUCCGGUAUAUAGAUACUCGUCACCAUGCCUAUACACCGUACUUAACAAUUAGCAAAUAGCAAACAACACCCUAAUCCUAUUCCCUCAAGCCAAAUUUAGAACAAACACUUACCUCAACUUUCACGGCUAAAUCAAUAGGGCUAAACAAAGCAACAAUAUACCAAAAUUACAACCGAAACCAUGAAUCGAUACCGAAAAGCUCGAAACCCAAAUCAGAACUAAAACUUCC